UGAGAUUUUUUUUAAACCUGAUGUCACAUCCAGGACAAACAAGAGAAGUCCUUUUAACCAAAUAGGACUCCUAUAUAACAAGAGUCUUUGAGAAGAGAGUCGUAUGACCUAAGAUGUCCCCUCCAACUACUUUGAUAUAAUGGCACAUGGAAGUGUGUCAUAAAGUGGGAGAAAAAGUGCAAGAAUUCCUCAAGACCCAUAUGUAAGGUUUUCUAUAAUUCACUUUGUAUGCUACAAUUGUUUGCCCUGCAUAGUGCCAGGAAGAUAUAAAAAUGUGAAAUGAACAAAUAUUGUUUAAGAGUUUAAAGAUACUUUGGAUGUCAUGACUCCAAUAAUAUUACCUUACAGAUCAACACCUGUGUUAGUCCAUUCUCAUGCUGCUAUGAAGAAAUACCUGAGACUGGGUCCAACACCAUAUGGAAGCUGCCAAGGCUUGAAGCAAUGGCCUAAGCUGGAUCUCGACCCCUUUUAGCCACAGCUGAAACUGGAAUGGCUGGGAUGCAGGACACCAAGUCCCAAGGCUGCACAGAGCAACAGGUCCCUGGGCCAGGCCCAGCAUUAGGCCUAUCAAGUGUCAUGCACAGCUCAAGAGGAAAUGCUAUCUGGAAAUCCCCCAACUCCCAUGGAAAUUCCCAGCUGGCUCCCUGUACACUGCAGAUACCUGAAGUGGUUUUGAAGACUGGGCAGCUAAGACCUAAGUGAAGAAGAAUUCCUCCCCUGCAAGGAUGACCAAGAACCCAGCCGCUCUGUUUCCUUCCCGACUGGAGUCCUCUUCUCCACUGAUCUUCAGGCUCGUGUGGAAAAACCGAUAAAAUAGAAAAAGCAAUCGGAAGAAUAUAAAAAUCACUGAUAAUCCCGCCACCUAGAGAAAACUACUGUUAGUAUUUUGAGUGUAUUUCCCUCCAGCUUUUUUCUAUAUAUGUGUAUGUAUUUAUAAUAUAUAAAUAAUAUACUAUAUA
rnacentral:lncRNA from 1 species